GAGUAGACUGGGGGUGGGGUGGAGAUAAAAGCACAAGGACAGUAUUCUUUCCUGCUGGGUCCUAGUCAUCUGAGCCAUUUCACAUGCUACCCCUCUAUCCCUCCACAGGAGAGCAGGAGACAGGGCAGCUCCUUUGGGCCCUAAUUUGGGAAAGAUUAAGGAACUGCUUGGCUUUUGUUCUUAAAGAGGUUUCCCCAGAAGCUGAAAAAUACCGGAAAAGAAGCUUUAAAACGAAUGCCUGUAUCAACAGCAUUUUAUCCAUAGGAGAACGAAGGAAAUUUACAUACUAACAUCUUAGUCUUCCUGAGGCAAAUUCAUCUUACAAAUGAAAUGAGACUCAUUAAGAAGAACUUUAGGUA